rnacentral:rRNA from 1 species
AGAGUUUGAUCAUGGCUCAGGACGAACGCUGGCGGCGUGCUUAAUACAUGCAAGUCGAACGGAUAUUAUAGCAAUAUAAUAUUAGUGGCGGACGGGUGAGUAACGCGUAACCAACCUGCCUUUUACAGGGGAAUAACAUUUGGAAACAGGUGCUAAUACCGCAUAUGACCACAACACGGCAUCGUGAAGGGGUAAAAGUUUUAUCGGUAAAAGAGGGGGUUGCGUAUCAUUAGCUUGUUGGUGAGGUAACGGCCCACCAAGGCGACGAUGAUUAACCGGCCUGAGAGGGUAAACGGUCACACUGGAACUGAGACACGGUCCAGACUCCUACGGGAGGCAGCAGUAGGGAAUAUUGGGCAAUGGAGGCAACUCUGACCCAGCAACGCCGCGUGAAUGAAGAAGGUCUUAGGAUUGUCAAGUUCUUUUAUAGCAGGCGAAAAAAAUGACGGUAUGCUAUGAAUAAGCCACGGCUAACUACGUGCCAGCAGCCGCGGUAAUACGUAGGUGGCAAGCGUUGUCCGGAAUGACUGGGUGUAAAGGGUGUGUAGGUGGUCGCUUAAGUGUAACGUGAAAUCCCUGGGCUUAACCCAGGAACUGCAUUACAUACUGGGUGACUUGAGUGCUGAAAGGGCAAGUGGAACUCCAAGUGUAGCGGUAGAAUGCGUAGAUAUUUGGAAGAACAACAGAGGCGAAGGCGGCUUGCUGGGCAGUAACUGACACUGAAACACGAAAGCGUGGGGAUCAAACAGGAUUAGAUACCCUGGUAGUCCACGCCUUAAACGAUGAAUACUAGAUGUUGGUGGUAUCGACUCCAUCAGUAUCGUAGCUAACGCGAUAAGUAUUCCACAUGAGUAGUACGGCCGCAAGGUUGAAACUCAAAGAAAUUGACGGGGACCCGCACAAGCAGCGGAGCAUGUGGUUUAAUUCGAAGAUACGCGAAAAACCUUACCAAGGCUUGACAUCGCUUGAAUAGCCGCGAAAUCGGUGAAGUAGAAGCAAUUUUACAAGCAGACAGAUGGUGCAUGGCUGUCGUCAGCUCGUGUCGUGAGAUGUUCGGUUAAGUCCGAUAACGAGCGCAACCCUUAUCGUUAGUUGCCAUCAUUAAGUUGGGAACCCUAGCGAGGCUGCCGUAGGUAAUACGGAGGAAGGUGGGGAUGAGGUCAAGUCAUCAUGCCUCUUACGCCUUGGGCUACACACGUGCUACAAUGGCUACUACAAAGAGCUGCAAUAUAGUAAUAUGGAGCGAAUCUCAAAAAAGUAGUCUCAAUUCGGAUUGUGGGCUGCAACCCGCCCACAUGAAAUCGGAGUUGCUAGUAAUGGCGAAUCAGCAUGUCGCCGUGAAUGCGUUCCCGGGUCUUGUACACACCGCCCGCCAAGCUAUGAGAGCUGAGGGCACCCAAAACCGCUGUGCCGACCGCAAGGGAGCAGGCGUCUAAGGUGAAAUCGGCGAUUGGAGUUAAGGCGUAACAAGGUAGCUGUAGGAGAACCUGCGGCUGGAUCACCUCCUU